GUGUCAGCCGCCGCGGUAAUACGGAGGGUGCGAGCGUUGUCCGGAUUUAUUGGGUUUAAAGGGUGCGUAGGCUGGGAGGUAAGUCAGCGGUGAAAAGCACACGCUUAACGGGUGUCUUGCCGCAGAUACUACUUUUCUUGGAUGAGGAGGAGGUCACUGGAACGGAUAGUGUAGCGGUGAAAUGCAUAGAUAUCAUCCAGAACACCGAUUGCGAAGGCAGGUGACUGUACCUUAAUCGACGCUGAGGCACGAAAGCGUGGGGAGCGAACAGGAUUAGAUACCCUGGUAGUCCACGCCGUAAACGAUGAGGACUAGCUGUUGGGCCUAUAGGGUUCAGUGGCAAAGGGAAACCGUUAAGUCCUCCACCUGGGGAGUACGCCGGCAACGGUGAA
rnacentral:rRNA from 1 species